AUGAAUCUACUAUUUUGGAACUAUCGAGGGGCGGGGAACUGCCAGACAGUUCAUAAGGUUAUGGCCCUCUCAAAAGCCAAUUCCCUGUCAUUUCUCUUUCUUUGUGAGACAAGGAAGACGGUAGAAAAGAUGGAACGAGUUAAAUGGAGAUUGCAAUUGAAUGGAUUUUGUGGCAUGGAUAGUCUAGUUCUCAGUAGUGGCCUGGCUCUAUAUUGGGAUGAUACACUAAAUAUGUCUAUCUUAGAUUCUUGCCAACGUUUUUAUUGA
rnacentral:rRNA from 1 species